ensembl:lncRNA
AUGGAUUGCAAUAGACACGCCGCAUUUUGGUCCGACUCUCCUUCUCACGAAGAAAACCGUUACAGAAUCACCCACCACAAAGGGACCAAGCAGCGUGUCAACAGGCAAGAACAGCCCAAAGUGGAGUACAGUAUGGACUAUACUUCUUGGGAGGAGAUAGACAGGUGGGCGGUCGACCCAGGGAGAGUGCCGGAGCCCGCCUGGGAUUCGAUGGAGCAGUGCGCGGAAGGAUAUAGGAGAAUGGAGUUUGCGAAGCAAGCAAGGCGGCGCGGACGGAGGCCCCAUAGUCAGCCCCAAAAAUUUCUUGGGGGGGGGCUCAGGGAGAGUGUGGCAGAGUCAGGAGCCAGACCUGAGCCAACUCUCCCUGUUUAUCGUGAGGAGCCAAGGAGGAGACCAGAGCCGGUGUUGGAGGUGAGCGAAACAGAGACUGUGAAGGAGUUAAUGGGGAAAUUGGAGGAGAGAGAAAUGAGGGAGUUGCUGUGUUGGUGUUUUAAACAUGGAAUUCGCCCGACGGAGCGUGUCGGGGAUUUGAUGGCACCUGGGUCAGCGCUCCAUACUCGUCCUGAGGUGCGUGUUAGUCGGCUGGUUAAGAUGGUGCCAGUCUCACGUACCAGGCCUCCUGUGCACCUCCCUAGCCUUGCACGUCCUGUGCCAGCACCGCUCUCAAGAUCUCCAGUACGCCUUCACGGUCUAACCCAUACUGUGCCACCUCCACACCCCAGCCCUCCGGUAGCAGCUCCCCGCACCAGGCUUCCUGUGCGUGUCCUCGGCCCAGUACCACCAGUGCCAGCACCACGCAUCAGGCCUACAGUGCGCCUCGCCUGUCCAGCGCUGUCGGAGCCCUCCUCCUCUCCAGCGCUGUUGGAGUCUCCCGCCUGUCUAGCGCUGUUAGAGCCUUCCUCCUCUACAGCGCUGCCGGAGUCUCCCGCCUGUUCAGAACUGCCAGUCUGCAAGGAGCUGCCAGUCUGCAAGGAGCUGCCAGUCUGCAAGGAGCUGCCAGUCUGCAAGGAGCUGCCAGUCUGCAUAGAGCUGCCAGUCUGCAAGGAGCUGCCAGUCUGCAAGGAGCCGCCAGAGCUGCCUGUCUGCAGGAUGCCGCCAAAGCUGCCAGUCUGCAAGGAGCCGCCAGAGCUGCUAGUCUGCAAGGAGCUGCCAGUUAGCAUGGAGCAGCCAGGGCCGCCAGUCAGCAUGGAGCAGCCAGGGCCGCCAGUCAGCAUGGAGCAGCCAGGGCCGCCAGUCAGCAUGGAGCAGCCAGUCAGCAUGGAGCAGCCAGAGCUGCCAGUCAGCAUGGAGCAGCCUGUCAGCAUGGAGCAGCCAGAGCUGCCAGUCAGCAUGGAGCAGCCAGUCAGCAUGGAGCAGCCAGAGCUGCCAGUCAUCAUGGAGCAGCCAGUCAGCAUGGAGCAGCCAGAUCUGCCAGUCGACCAGACUCUUCCAGAUCUGCCAGUCGACCAGACUCUUCCAGAUCUGCCAGUCGACCAGACUCUUCCAGAUCUGCCAGUCGACCAGACUCUUCCAGAUCUGCCAGUCGACCAGACUCUUCCAGAUCUGCCAGUCGACCAGACUCUUCCAGAUCUGCCAGUCGACCAGACUCUUCCAGAUCUGCCAGUCGACCAGACUCUUCCAGAUCUGCCAGUCGACCAGACUCUUCCAGAUCUGCCAGUCGACCAGACUCUUCCAGAUCUGCCAGUCGACCAGACUCUUCCAGAUCUGCCAGUCAGCCAGACUCUUCCAGAUCUGCCAGUCAGCCAGGAUCUGCCAGAACCGCCAGCCAGCCAGGAUCUGCCGGAUCUAACUACCUGCCUGAGCUUCCUCUCAGUGCUGUGCUACCCAUCAGUCCCGAGCUACUUCUGUCCCGAGCUGCCCCUCUGUCUCGAGCUGACCCUCUGUCCCGAGCUGUCAUUAAGAAGGGUCACCUAUCUAGGGACGCUAAGGAGGUGGACUAAAACUGUUAUGGAGUGGGGUCCACGUCCAGCGCCAGAGCCGCCACCGCGGACAGAUGCCCACCCACACCCUCCCCCAUAG